CUUGUCAUCCUCCUGCUUCAGCCUCCUGAAUAACUGGGAUUACAGCUUUGCUGGCCAUCUGGACAUUCAGACAGACACCAUGCCUGCAAGGACUCCUCUCCCUUCCUGUCACUGAGGACCAGCUGUGACCUCAGAAGCCCAGAAAUCCAAAUGCAAUAUGUGAGUCGGAUGGGCAUGUGGAGAAGGCAGGAGAAGAAAGCAUUCAAAACAAGCUACCAGGCCCAGGCGGUGCUCAGCACACACUGAUCAGCCAAAGGGUGUUGCUGGGAUUCCAUGUUUGAUGCCAUCUGGGCUACGAUUUCUACUGAAAAUACAAAGGGAAAUGUGAGACUUGUAUGCUUAUCAAAGUAGACUAAAGAAGAGUCAAGAAAAACUUCUCUAAAGGGGAAAAAUGGUGCUGAGAAUGAAGACAUCAGCAGGGUGAUAAGGGAUAGCUGCCUGCAAAGCCCCUCCAUGCUGGGAGCACACGAUUUAAUUUAAAUUUGUGCUCUUUGCUGGAUGGGUGACCACAUAAUUCCAGUCAAUACACUUGCUACCAGUUGGACCUAGAAGUCUCCCCAAACAAGAGCUUUGCUCUACCACGGGCUCCCCUCCACGAUGUGCUGCUUCACCACAGGCCCAGAAAGGAACAGGGUCACUCAGUCACCGACUGAACCCUCCACAACUGUAGACACAACAUCUUUGUAUGUGGCACUGAGGAUCGAACCCGGGCCGCACCCAUGCCAGAAGAGCACGCUACCACUUGAGCCACAUCCCCAGUCCCGAAAAGAGACAAAUUAAAGACAAUGUGUGUGCCCUGAGAAUUAUGUACUCGCUUGUUUAACCUGUACAGCAGAAAAGUUUGACACUAAAGUGAAGACCAAACCAA